ACUGGAUUGCAAAAAUCAUUGAGAAUAUUACCAAGGCUAGAAUAACCCUAACACCUCUAUUGAAUUGGGAGACAGUUCUAAAUUUGAAGAGCAAAAAAUGUACUGUGAGAAGAGUUAUCCCACCGCAUUUGAACUACAAUGUGCUACCAAUGAAUAUUAAACAAAAACAAUGCAAGAUUAUCUACAUCACUAGGAAUCCAAAAGAUACAGCUGUUUCACUACAGAGAGAACCCUAAUCUCCCUGGCAUUGAAACAUGGCAUGAAUUGUUUGAGCUGUUCCUAAGAGGAGAUGGAUCCUUCUAAAACCAUAAAGAAAAUAACUGCUUUCCUUGGUUUAAGCAUGAGUGAUGGUGAAAUUAAUCAAAUUGCUUGGAAAACAUCAUUCACUGAAAUGAAAAAUAAUACAACCAAAGAAAACUGUGAUCCAAAUCAUACCAUCUGUGCCCUCACAUCUAAUAGGAA